GACGAACGCUGGCGGCGUGCUUAACACAUGCAAGUCGAGCGAGGCCCACCUUUCGGGGUGGUGUCCUAGCGGCGAACGGGUGAGUAACACGUGGGCAACCUGCCCUCAGCUCUGGGAUAACUCCAAGAAAUUGGGGCUAAUACCGGAUAUGACUGCUGACCGCAUGGUCUGGUGGUGGAAAGAUUUAUCGGCUGGGGAUGGGCCCGCGGCCUAUCAGCUUGUUGGUGGGGUAGNGGCCUACCAAGGCGACGACGGGUAGCCGGCCUGAGAGGGUGACCGGCCACACUGGGACUGAGACACGGCCCAGACUCCUACGGGAGGCAGCAGUGGGGAAUAUUGCGCAAUGGGCGAAAGCCUGACGCAGCGACGCCGCGU
rnacentral:rRNA from 1 species